CCAUAACAUCUUUUUGCCAAACUGCCCACCAGUGGAAGAACAUCUGUGGUCCUCAGGCCAAGCUAGGCCAAACCACACCAAACCAGCCUUUCAAAAAAAGGUCAUGCGUGUUUGCAGAGUUACUCAUGUGGAUGAAUCAACUCCCGUAUCGGUUUCUGUCCUCUCAACUAGAUUCCCUGGGCUGAAAAUGCCUGCCCCGUUUGGUGCAUUACUACGAAAGAGCGAGUCCGGACAUGUCGGAGAGAAAAAAAAACCACGGGCCCUCCUGCACAAAUGCUGAGCACCCAGCCUGGACACGUCUGCUUUCUUUCAAGAGUGAAAAAAGUGUGAUGUGGCUACUUCACAUAGCCAUAAAGUGCUAAUCAAAGUACUGGAGAUCCUGCUGCACUGUGUCGAAGGUAUUCUUCUUUCAAUUUGCGUCAUCUACACCGAGAUCUUUUGAUGAAAACCGCAUGUCUGCAAGUGACUGUGAUUCAAAUCAGAAACGGGAACAUCUGGUUUGAGAUGCUGCUGUUUCAGAUUUCAAAGAAAAAAACUCAACAUAUAAAAAACUCAAAUAUAAAUCAGAUAUUUGGCAAACCAGGCAAAACGAUAUGAUUUCCUGUCUGCACAAUCUGCAAGAAGUCUUGUUUAAGUGACCAGCUUUGAAAGAAAAAAUGUGCUUUUGAGGAAUCAGAGCCAGCCUUCCAAUGUGCAGCUGUUUCUGCAAAACAAAUGCAUCUGAUAAAGGCUCAAUAACUUUAGCUUUAUGAAAUAUAUGAAUAACAAAAUGGUUCUACAGAGAACUAUGAACACUCAAAGAACCUGUUGCCCGAUUAAAGAAUUCUCUGCGUUGUUUAACUGUUCUUCAGAUUGAUGGAGAAUGUGCAGUAUAUGGUUCCAUGUAGAACAUUCCUGAAAAGUGAUCACCAAAAAUGGUUCUUCUACAGUUAUGAUGGCAAGCUUGUAACAACAGAAGAACCCUAUACGGUGCUAUGUAGUAGAACCUUUUUGAAAAGGGUAUCUAGAAGCAUAUACAAUACAAACUGCUUUAAACUGAAGAACGCUUUCACGAUGCCAAAGGCUCUUUGAGUGUUCAUGGUUCUACAUAGAACCAUAUUCUUUACUAAAAAACCCUUGAAGUACCAUCUUUCUCAAGUAUGUACAAGACACUAGCAUAGGGAAGGUAAAAAUCAAAAGAAAGAAAAAAUGGGGUUCAGCAAACCAAAGCCAGAGAGAAUGUGGGACUCCUAACAACCACCUGGAAGACCUGGUUGACAGCAAAACUGUCCUUAUCAGAUAAACAGCAAUUAAUGCUUUCAUCUUUGAGAGAAUCAGGCUGCUUCAGAUCUAUGUCUGUCCAACCUUCCACUGUGAGAAGACACCUCAGCCCUAUGGGUCUGAAAGGAUGUGUAGCUGUUCAAGAAUCCUCACUGAGAAAAGGAGACACAUCAAACAAUGAAGCAGAACUGGACUGACCACCCCAGAGUCCAGACCUCAUCAUCACCGAAUGGAUUACUUCAUGAAACAAAUCAACCGACUUCUAAGACUGAACAUUGGAGGUGUGUCUGCAGAUUUCUGAGAGAAACUGAAAGCGAGUCUCCUGAAAAGAAUGGAAGCUGUAAUAAAGGAAAAGAGCAACAUCUGAUCUUUGUCAGAUGUUGAGGCUUCCGGGUAAUUUCCUGCUAAAUACAUGUUUUCUGCUUUAUUUACUGUUGAUAAAAAGAACCUGUUCUUAA